ensembl:lncRNA
AAAACUAAAACAGAGAUAUCCAGAGCGAAAGAAGAUCUUGAGAACCAACUUGAAUCACAUAAAAGGCAAAAUGAAGUAACACUGGCUGAGAUACACAAAGAGAAACACAUUCUUGAGCAGUUAAGAAUGAACAUAUCAAGACAGAGAGAUGAUCUAGAAAAGGACAUUGAGCAAACAAGAUACAAACAAGCAGAGCUGCAAAGUCUAAAAAUGGAAAUUCAGAAACAGCAAACAGAGAUAGAUGAGCAGAAGGUGAUGAUUUCCAUGCAGAAGAGUGGGCUUAAAGACAUAAAAAUUCAAAUAGAUCAACAGAAAAAAGAGACAGAUGAAACCAAAGAACAGAUAAGGAAGGAGAGAGAUUAUAUCGAGAGGGAAAGAGCAGAAAUAAUUAAUCAAAAACAGCAUAUGGAGGUAAAUUUAAGGGAAGAACUAAAAAAGAAGAGUGAAAAGUUAGAACUGCUCAGAAAGGAGUUGUAUGAUGAAAAGGAAAGAAUUGACAACUGCAGGAAAAAAAUAAAAACAGAUAUGGAUGCUUUGGAACAAACAAAGCAUGAUGUAGUUAAAGAGUUGGAGAUUAUCAAGCUUCAGAAACAAAUGAUCGAGGAUGAGAAAAACAAGACUGAGCAGAUAAAAGCUCAGCUAAAAAGAGAAGCUGAAGACAUCGAGAAGAUAAAAGUAGUGACACAAAAUGAAAGACAGAAGCUUCAGGAAGCAACAACCCACCUUCAGAAAGAUAGAGACAAUGUUCAGAGUCUUGCAGAGGAACUUGACAAGAAAAAAGUGGCUCUAGAAAAUGUGCAACGGGAGAUAGAAAUGCAAAGGAAAGCAAAUGAGUCUAAUAAACAGAUGCAAGAAAGGGCUCUGUUUGAGCUGAAGAAAACUGUGACAGAUAUAGCAAGAGCGAAGGAGGAUCUUGAAAACCAGCUUGUUGAAGAAAGAGAAAAGAACAAGAUCACACUAGCAGAAAAAGACAUGCUUCUUCUACUGAGAGACAGUAUUUCAGAGCAACAGGAUAACAUUGCAAAUGAGAGAGAGCAAAUGAGACUUAGAGAGACUGAACUUGAACAACUCCAAGCUCUGAUUUAUAGACAGCAAGAUGAAAUGGAAGCCACACGAAAAGCUCUCACAAUGGAAAAAAGUAGACUUGAGGAGAAGAAAACUGAAAUAGAUCAAAAAUGGAGAAAAGUAAAUGAAAUCAUGGAGUUUACAACAGGAGAAAAGGCUUAUCUUGAGAAAGAGAGGUCUGAAAUGAUAGCACAGAAACACCAAAUGGAGAAUGAACUGGAGCUCUUUAAGGUGGAACUGAAUAAUGAAAAACAAUUAACUGAAGAAAGGACCCAAAUGUUAACAACAUACAAGGCUGACAUAGAAGAAAAAAGAGCAGCCCUAGAGAUAGAGAUAAAGAAGCUUGAUUAUCAUAAAAAAGCUAUUCAAGAUGAGAAGGAUAAUGUUGAACAGAUGAAAAUUGAGCUGCAAAGAGAAGCCGAUGACAUCAGAAAGCUAAAAGAUGAAACACAAAUUGAAAAACAGAGUUUGGAAAAGAUGGCAGAAGAACUUCAGAAAGAGAGAGAAGCUUUGGGGAAUGAGAAGGAAGUGAUAAAACAGAUCAAAACUGAAUUGCAAAGAGAAGCAUGUGAGAUUGAGAAGAUCAGACUAGAAACACAACAUGAAAGACAAAGGAUUGAUGAAAUGGCAGCUCAAAUCCAGAAAGAGAGAGAAGAAAUCAAUAGUCUUAUUGUGGAAAUUAAAAAGAAGAGAUAUGUUCUGGAUGAAACCUAUACUGAAAUACAAAGGGAACAAGAAGCAAUCGAGAGAGGCAAAGACUUGAUUAGAAGGGAAUGGUCUGACCUAGAGAAAACCAAAGCGGAGAUGUCUCAAACCAAGGAAGAGAUUGAAAAACAAAAAACAAACAUUGAGAUCACAUUGGCAGAGAUACAAAAAGAGAGAAACAUGCUUGAACAGAUGAGUGAGAAAAUAACAAGAGAAAAAAUGAUGCUUGAAGAUGAAAAGGAAGAAUUAAGAAUAGGAAAGGAAGAACUUGAAAGGAUGUGGGCAGACAUCGAAAGACAACAAGAAGAUACUGAUCACCUGAGGUUUGGCAUAACAAAAGAGAGUCUAUUUGAGAAGUCAGAGGCUGAAAUGGUUCUUCAGACAGAGAGUGACGUGGAUGUAGUCAAGUCUUUAACAGGAAAAGAAAUUUCCGAUCCAGAUGGACAUAGUGUUUCGACGGAGCAGAUGCUGGAAAUGGACUUAAAAGUUGCAUUAGAAACAGAUGCUGAGAGCCAAAAGUCUGAUUUUCCUGAAGUUGAGGAUGAUUUACCUCAUAAACAGGAGAUGAUGUUAGAGAAGAAGUUUAUUGAAGAUGAAAAGGACAAGCUGGAACAGAUGAGAGCUGAAUUACACAAAGAAGCUGAUCACAUUGAAAAGAAAAAGCAGGACAUGCAGAAUGAAAGACAGAAGCUAGAAGAAAUGGCUGCUCAACUUCAUGAAGAGAGAAGUAGUCUUGAACGUCUUAAUGAGGAGAUUAAUGUUCAGAAUUUCAAUCAACAAAAGCAAGCAACAGAGUCUGAAAUGGAGAAGACUGAUUCAGAGAAAAUCAAAACAGAAAUUGCUAAAGCCAACAAACUUCUUGCAGCACAUCAAGAGAAGAAUGAGAUGACAAUAGAAGAGAUGCGGAGAGAGAGAGACACUCUUGAAGAAAUGAGGGUGAGCAUCUCAAAACAAGCGGAGACUAUUACAAAAGGUAAUGAAUACCUUUCUCGCAGAGAAAGUGAACUUGCAAAGCUGCAGGAAGACAUUUUACAACAACAAAAUGAAAUGGAUGAACUGAAAACCACAAUCAUGAUGGCAAUGAGUCAUCUGGACCAGAGACAAACUGACAUUGAUCAAUUACAGAGGGAGGUUGAUGAUCUAAUGGAAUUCACAAAGACAGAAAUGACCAACGUAGAAAGAGAAAGAGUGGAAAUAAUGGCACAGAAGAGAGAUAUAGAGAGAGAUAUGGUCAGUAUAGAGGAAGAAAAGAAGACCUGUGAACAACUGAGACUAAAAUUAUUUGAGGAAAAGGAUCGGGUUGAAAAAGACAGAGAACUGUUGACCAAAAAUUUGUAUCAUAUGGAGAGGCAGAAAAUGGAUAUGGAGAAAGAACUAAAGAAUCUAAAAGUUGAGAAACAAACCAUUCAAAAUGAAAAGGAGGAACUAGAGAGGAUGAAAACUGACCUUCAAAGACAAGCUGAAGACUUGAAGAAACUACCUGAGAAGACAAAGGAUGAAAGACAGAGGGCAGAAGAGAUGGCAGCCAAAUUUAAAAAGCAAUUAGACAUCAGUGGUAUUCCUUCGGAUGAGACAGAGAAGCAGAGUAAGGAAAUUCAGUCAACCAAAGACUUGCUUCGGGAAGAAAGGUCUGAGCUGGAGAAAACCAAAGCAGAGAUAAAACAAGCCAAGGAAGAAUUAGAGAGUCAAAGAACUGACUUACAGAGAGAAAAAGACAUUCUUAAGCAAGUGAGUAUAAAUAAUUUGAGACAAACAGCUCAAAUUGAAGAUGAGAAGGAAAAAAUACAACACAAAGAGUAUGAACUAGAACAAAUGAGAGCAGAACUUCAAAACAAACAAAAAGAAAUGGAUGACAUGAAAAACAACAUAAUAAAAGAAAAAGCUAAUAUGGAGAAUCUGGAACAAAAGAGAGCUGAGUUGGCUAGAGACUUGGAAAAGCUACAAACUGAGAAACAAGCUUUUAAAAAUGAGCAAGAUAAGCUGGAAAAGAAGAGAGAGGAUAUUGAGAAGUUAAAGCUAGAAGUUCAGAAAAAAGGGCAGAGGGCUGCAGAAGAGUUAGAAAAAGAGAGAAAACAAUUUACUAUGGAGAUCAAAAUGAAAAAUGACACCCUGGAUGAAAUACAAGCUGAGAUAGAAAGACAGAAACAAGCCAUUGCUGUAGACAAAGCGAUCAUUACAAAAGAAAAGAUAGAUCUGGAAAAAACCAAGGAACAUUUCAGAAGACAAUCCGUGGAGAGUGACAUCACACGUGCAGACCUGCAGAAAGAGAGAGCUAGUCUUGAUCAGAUGAGUGUGGAGAUCUUUAAGCAAAAACAGGACCUAGAGAGAGAAAGAGGUGAACUGUUAGAACGGCAUCAGCUGAUGGAAACACUAAAAAAGGACAUUGAAAAUGUGGAACAACUCAGAAAAGAGCUUUCGGAUCAAAAAGAAGUGACUGAGAAAAACAGAACACAGCUGAAACAAGACAUAGAUGACAUGGAACAAAACAAAUCAAAUCUGCAAAAAGAAUUACAGGAGAUAAAAGUCCAAAAACAGGAUAUUCAAGAUGAAAGAGCUCAACUAGAGCGAAUUAAAGCUGAGUUAGCAAAAGAAAGAGAAGCAAAUGAUGAAAUGUUGAGAGAGGGUAAGAAAGAAAUGGAGAAAUUGAAGGAGAUGAAAACAAAUAUUCUAAUCCAAAAAGAAGAGUUUGAGACUAAAAGACAGUCAGAAGUAGAGGAACUCAUUGGUAUGAGAGCUGAAAUACUCAAACAGAAAGAGGAAUUAGAGGACAAGAUGCAAAAGACUAAACAUGAGAUGAAAGAAUUGAAGCUUCUUCAGGAUGAAACAGAUGGCAAGAGGAAAGAUCUUGAACACAAGAUGAGACAGGCAGCAAGAAAGAAAGAUGAGCUGGAGAAAAUGAGAGCUUAUAUUGAAAGUGCAAAUGAGAAACUUGAAAUGAACAGGGUCCUGUUAAGUAUAGAGCUUGAUGAGAUGGAGCGAAUGAAAGCUGAGAAACAACGAGCGGGAGAAGAACUACAUAUGGAAGAGAGAGCUGGAGAUCUGGAAGAGAAAGAACAAAUAAACACCAAGAUACAGAGGCUUAUUCAAGAGGCUGAACAUGACCUGGAAAGAAGCAUGCCGAGAGAUGUUAAUGUUGCGGAUUCAGAGGAAAGGCAAGAAAUGAGUGCUUACAUGCAGAGGCUGAUCCAGGAAAUUGAGCAUGUCAGAGAGGUUCUCAGAAGAAUGAAAGAUGAAGUCAAGGCAGCUAGAAAAGAAAGAUUUGAACUGGAGAACAUAAGGCUGGAAGUUGAAGCCAUGAAACAGAGCAUGAAAGAAACCUAUGAGCAACAGAACAAUGAGAUACAAAAAGAAAAGCAGCAAAUAGAGAGUAGCAAAGACUUGUUGAGCAGAGAGCGAAGUGAUCUUGAGCAAAAUAGAGCUGAUUUGGAGAGACAAAAACAAGAAAUAGCAUUGGACAAACAAAAACUCCAUGAUGAAAAUGAACUGCUGAAGAUAGAAACGGCUGACAUGAAGAAACAAUAUGAAAUUCUCCAAAGCCUUCUAAAAGAAACUAGAGAAAGUGCAGGAGAAACAGUUACACUUUUUAAGAAAAAGAAAGGAAUGGGGAGAGAUUCAGAGGAAUUAAGGGAGAAAAUGGAAGCAUUAAGCAUGGGCGACCAGCAAGAAGAGAGCGAGAGUCAGUUAGAUAAAGUUAAAAGACAAAUAGACAAACUGACAGAGUUGAAGGCUGAGCUGGAUCAACAGCAGGUAGAACUUGAGAAAAAUAAAGCAGACUUUAAACAUCAGAUGGAUGAGCUAGAAAACAUGAGGUCUGAGAUAUUAAAACAUAAAAAGGACACGAGAGAGGUGGAGCUGAUGGAUAUACAGAGACAAAGAGAGGUCCUAGAAACAAGGAUUCAGAAAAUGAUGCAUGAGAAGGGAGAACUGGAAGUCUUAAGGUCUGAGAUAGUCAUAGAAAAGAAAGAUCUGGACCAGAAGAUGAAACAAGUGAUGAGAAAGAGGGAUGAGAUGGAGAAAAUGAAGACUGAUAUAGCAAAGGCCAAAGAGGAGAUCAACAGAGACCGGCAGGAGCUGGAAAUACUCAGGAAUGAUGUUCAAAGCUCAAGAGAGGAUUUUAAACUAUUGGUGGAGAAAACUGUGAAUCUAGAAAAUGAGGAAAGUACCAAUGCAGACAUCCAAAGACUGAUUUUAGAGGUUGUGAAAAUCAGCGAAAUGGUGAGAAAUCUAAAAGUUGACAUGGAGAACCGGAUGGAGGAAAGUAAGGUGGUGAGAGAUGAAAAGGAAAACUUCAAGUCUGAGAUCCAGAGGCUCAUUCAAGAUAUUGGACCAAUACGGGAACAUCUUGGAAGCCUUAGAGAAGAUAUAGAAACCAUCAGAAGAGACAAGAAUGAAUUGGAAAAGAUGAGGGCAGAACUUGUAGAGAAGCAACAGGCAGAAGAGAGCAUGCUGCAGAAAGAAAGAGAAAAACUGGAGCAGCUGAAAGAUGAUAUAAACAGAGAAAAGGAGGAUAUGGAGACCAAGAGAGAGCUGGUUAAGGAAGAAAUAGCUAAAGAAAAAAUGGCAGAGUUCAAAGACACAAGAAAGAACAAGAAAGAACCGCAAAUGGUCACUGAGGAACUCUUGAGAAACAAGAGUGAUGUAGAACAGCUCAACAAAGAUAUAGAAAACCUGAGGCAAACCAUGGAAGAAAUGAAAACACUGCAUGAAAAGAAAAGGGCUGAACUGGAAGGCAUUAUUUCUGAAGUAAAGAGGACAGAGCAGAUACUGGAGAAGCAGAAACAUGAGUUGGAGGAGAAGGGUUGGAUUGUUAAAGAAAUAGAGAAAAAGAAAGACAUACUUGAAAAGAUCAAUAUGGAAAUACUGAGGAAGAGAGAAGAUAUGGAAAAAGAAAUGGACAAUUUAAGGCACAAAAAGCAAGAGCUGGAGCUCUUUAGAGGUGAACUCCAGAGACAGAGAGCUGAAAUCAAUCAACAAAGGCAUGAAGUGAGUGCUGCCAUGAAGGCCUAUGAUGUGGAACUGAAAAAUCUAGAAAAGAUUAGGAAUGAACUAGAAAAUGAGAGGGCUAAACUUGACGAAAAGCUCCAUGAUGCCACAAAAUCAGAGAAGAAACUAGAGGAAAUGAAGAGUGUACUAAACAAACAAAAAGAGCAAGUGGAAGUAAUGAAGCAGAUGGUCAUCACAGAGAGACAUUUAAUUGAACAAGAGAAUGCUGAGCUUCAGAAGAAGUCAGAGAUCACUGACAGACUCAUUCAGGAAGCAAACAACGAGAGAGACAGAUUAACAGACCUCAGUCUAAAACUUCAAAUGCAAAGAGAAGAUAUAGAGAAUAUCAUCACAGAAAUAGAGACCAAGAAGAAAAAUCUAAAUAUAAUGAGUGCAGAACUUCAAGAUGAUAAGAUACGACUGAAAAAUGACAGGGAUGUUUAUGAAAGGGAAAUGACACAUCUGCAGCUUAAGAGGGAAGAGUUAGUGAUGGAAACAGAGGACCUGGAAAGAAAAACCUUACAGCAGAAAGAACAAGAUGAGAUGGCGAAACGAGAGAUUCAAAAUCAGAAAGAGGCUCUAGAGCAAAUGAAGGUGGACAUUCUGAAGGAAAGAGAGGAUUUUGACAAAGAGAAGAAAAAUGUACAUUCAGAAAAACAGAAACUGGAUACACAACAAGGAGAACUGCAAAGAAAGGAAUGUGAGCUUGAAAAUAGAGUAAAAACUUUCAUGGAAGAGCAGCAGCAGCUGAAACAGACUCAAGAUGAAAUAUAUAAAAUCAAGAAGGAGAUUCAAAGCAAUCUGGAAAUAAAGGAGGCUGAAAUUCAAGAGGAGAGACAGAGAUUAAUGGAAAUGGGUGAAACAAUGACAAGAGAAUGCAAUGAAUACAGAAAUCUGAUUGAAGAAGUGAAGAAAGAAAAAGAACAGAUUGAAAUCAGCAAAAAGUUGAUGGAUCAAGAGAAGGACGAUCUUGAAAACAUGAAAAAUGAUCUGGAGAUGCAAUUGCAAAAUCUAAGGUAUGACAAACUAAAAGUAGAAGAUGAGAUGAAAGCACUAGAGCAGAUAAGGGCAGAAUCCAAAGAGAUUCAAAAUGUUAUCAAGAAGGAAAGGCAGGAUCAUGAGAAAUGCUGGGAGGAGAUUGAGGAUGAAAAGCAAAGAGUGGAGGAAGAAAUCAGACAAUUAGAGAGACAGAGGGAAGAAACGUAUAAACUUCACAGCGAGUUGCAAAUAAUUAGAGAUGACAUUGAAAGUAGGAAAGAAAAUAUUGAUAAAGAAAUUAAAGAAUUGUUGCAAAUGAGGGUUGAACUGGAGAGAACAAAAGUGGAAAUCAAAAAGGAUAAUCAACAACUUCAAGAUGAUAAAUUUAACCUUGAAAAGACAAAAGCUGAGAUAAAGAUACAGACAGAUAAACUGAUACUACUAGACACUAAUUUAAAGGAGAAAGAAAGAGAAAUGAAAAUCCAACUAGAUAAAGACAGAGAAGAAAUUAAAUGUUUGUCUGAAGAGACUGAAAUGAAAAUGAGGGACCUUGAUAUGACGAUGAAGGUGAUGGAGAGACAAAAGCAAGAAAUUGAGAAAACAAAAGUGAUGCUUGAAAAGGAAAAGACAGAAAUUGGUAAAGAAAAGAAAGACUUGGAAAACCAAAUGAUGGACCAGACUGAGCAGAUAGAAAAGGACAGACUGGCCCUUGAGGAGAUGAAGGAAGAACUUCUUCAUGAAAAACAAGAAAUGGAGGAAGAGAGGAAUAACUUGAUGACUUUAAGCAACAAACUAGAAGUUUUAAGAGCAGAGACAAGGAAUAAGCAAAAUGAAAAUGAGAUUUUGAAGAAGAAACUUAUUUUGGAGAAAUCAAACAUAGAGGAAUUGCAGUUUGAGGUACUUAACCAGCAGCGACAGAAUGAUCAAACCAGUGAGGAAAACAAGAAAGAGAAAGAAGGUCUGGAAAAACAGAGGUUUGAAACUGAACAGCAGAAAAAGAUGUUGGAGCUUAGCAUCAUAAAAAUUAACGAGGAGAAGCAAAAACUUCAGAAAGCCAAAGAAGAAAUGGAAAACAUAAAAUACAUGACCAACAAAGAAAGAGACAAGGUUGAACAAAUGCAAGCUGAGAUACACAGUCAGAUUCAGUCGACUGAACUUCAAAUGCAACUCAUGCAAGACAAGCAGAAUGCUCUUGAGGAAAAAGAGCUAAACAUACAGAGGAGGGAAAGGGAAGUAGAGAGGAGAAACAUAGAAUUAGAUGGAAUCGCUGCUCAGCUUCAAAUUGAACAGGAACAUUUAGAUACUGUUCUUGAGGAAACCAAUAAGAGACAACAUGCCCUUGAAGUGAUAAAACAAACAAAUAAUAAGGACUUUGAGUUGCUUGAGAAGAUACGGCAUGAAAUAGACAACGAAAAGAUAGAAAUGAAGCAGAAACAAGAUGAUCUGCAGAUUUGGACUAAACAACAGAAAGAUAAGGUUCAAGUCCAGUUAGAAGAGCUAGAGAAAGAAAGAGAAAAAUUGGAAAAAAUGAAGAUUCUUGCUGAGAGAGAACAAUCUGAAAAAGAGAGAGCUGAUAUAAAUAGGCUAAAUGGUGAAAUAGAGACAAUGAGACAAACAGUGAUAAUUCAGAAGAGUGAGCUGGAGCAGAGAGAGAAAUAUAUUACUGAGCAGCAGCAAAGACUGGAUCAAAGUGUAAAAGAGGUAACAGAAGAAAGAAGUGAAAUGGAUAAGAUGAGGCUUGAACUAGAAGCUCGGAGACAUCGAAUUGAAGAUGACGUGAACACUAUUGCAAAGCAGGAAAAAGAACUUGCACAACUGAGAGAUGAAAUACAAAGAGAAAAACAAGAAAUUGGUGAGAACAGGAACAUGAAUAACAAGUUAAUGAACGAUCUGGAAAUUAUGAAAGCCAAGCUGGAGGAACAACAAGAAAUGAUCCAAACUGAAACAGAAAAACUCCAAAAGGAAAGAAAACUAGUUGACCAGACAAAAUCUGAGGUUCAGAAUGAUGCUGAAAAUCUGAAAAACGUAUCUGAAGAGAUCAAAAGGAAGCAAGAAAAAAUUGAGAUAAGGGAGGCCCACCUUAACCAAAUGAUGGAGCAAUGUGUCAAUACCAUGGAAGAAACUAAGAGGAAGAAGAGUGAACUAGAAAAGACUAUUGAUGACAUAGAAGAGCAAAAUCAACUGAUUAAGACUGAGAAAGACCAUCUGGAAAAAGAGAGACAUAACAUUGAAAAGGAAAAAGAAGAUUUGCAAAGACGAGCUGAUGACCUGGAGAUGCACAUGACAGAACAAAAAGAAAAAGAAGAGAUAAGUAAAAGGUUGAUGGAUGACGAGAAAAAGCUUCUUGAGGAAAAGGCUGGCGAAAUUCUGAGACAAAGAGAUGAAAUAGAGAAAGAAAAAGAAGACAUGACAAAGAAGUGGGAUGAGCUGGAUGUUCUUCAGAAGAAAAUACAAAAACAAAGAGACGAACUGGAAGAAAUGAAAUAUGAGUUACAAACUGAAAAGACUAAAAUGAAUCAACAGCAGCAAAGACUGGAUGAGAUUAUAAGAGCUGUGAAUGAGGAGAGGAGAGAUCUAGAGAACAUGAGGAGUGAAUGUGAAAAAUACAGACAACAAAUGGAAGAAGAGAUGAGAGUAAAAGCAAAGAUGGAGAGAGAGGAGCUUGAUCAGAAGAAGCGUGAUCUGGAAAGACAGAAAACUGAAAUAGAUAAAGACCAGAAGAAAAUAGAUGAUGAGAGAAAGAUGAUUGAACAGGGGAGAAAUGACCUGGAAAAGAUGAGGUCUGAAAUAAUGACACAAAGAAAGGAAAUAGAAGAAGAAAGAUCAGAACUAGACAACAAAACAAAAGAGACUGAUCUAGUAAAAUGUGACAUUGAAAGGAGCAGAGAAACUGUACAGAAAUUAUUGGAUGAGGUGGAAGAACAGAGAAAUGAUAUUAAACUUAAUGAAGAAGAACUUGAACUUGAGAGACAAAAUAUCACUGAUGAAAAAGAUUUUCUGGCUCAAAUAAAGACUGAACUGCAAAAAGAAAGUGAACGAAUCAGAUACAUGGAAGAGGAAAUAAAGAAGGAGAGAGAAACACUGAAAGAAAUGGAAGCUCAUCUACAAAAGGAAAAGAAAGAAAUCGAGAGUGUCACUGAAGAAACAAACAGACGAAAACAUGAUCUUGAAAGAAUGCAGACAGAACUGAAAAAAGAAAGUGAACAAAUCAGAUACAUGGAAGAGGAAAUAAAGAAGGAAAUAGAAACACUGAAAGAAAUGAAAACUCAUCUACAAAAGGAAAAGGAAGAAAUUAAGAGUGUCGCUGAAGAAACAAAUAGACGAAAAGAAGAUCUGGAAAGGAUGAACACAGACAUAAAUGAGCAAAAACAAGAGCUGAGAAAAUACAGAGAGCUUCUAGAGCAGGAGAGAGAAGAAAUGAAAAAUAAAUGGAUACAGUUACAGCAGAGAAUUGAUAAAUUUGAUACUCAAGUCAGACAACAGAAGGAAAAGGAUUUAAUGANCAAAUGGAAGACAUCAGAGAAGCAAUCAAACUAGAGAG